UACGAAGGUCCCAAGCGUUGUUCGGAAUCACUGGGCUUAAAGGGCGCGUAGGCGGGGUAGUAAGUCUGUGGUGAAAUCCUCCGGCUCAACCGGAGAACGGCCGUGGAUACUGCUACUCUCGAGGGGUGUAGGGGCAUGCGGAACUUAGGGUGGAGCGGUGAAAUGCGUAGAUAUCCUAAGGAACGCCGAUGGCGAAAGCGGCGUGCUGGACACCUUCUGACGCUGAGGCGCGAAAGCCAGGGGAGCAAACAGG
rnacentral:rRNA from 1 species